UCCCCGGUAGCUCAGUUGGUAGAGCGAUCGGCUGUUAACCGAUUGGUCGCAGGUUCGAGUCCUGCCCGGGGAGCCA
rnacentral:tRNA from 4 species